CGCUUUAACCUUUGAGUCGAUAAGGCGUAUUUCUGUUCGAGCAUGUGAAAGUCAACUUUGGUAUUAUUUUCACAGAUGAAAAUUAUGUCGAAAGUCAAACACUGGAAGGCAAAAUUAAAACUGCAAUACAAAACCUUUAUAAGAAGUUCAACAAAACUGUACCAUCCAACUUGAAAUUGAAUUCUAUGAAAAACGUAAAUAGUUAUUGGUCAGGUCCUUGAAGAUUUAAU